AUGGCUGUUCAUCUACCUUUAUCCUUGAAAGCUUAGGCAGAAGUCCGUUUACUUAUGUUUUCUCAUAUGAAUCUCUUAACUCCAGCUAUCGGGGAUCCUAUCUGCGUACAUUUGUGUUCUACUAGUAGUUCUUUCCGAUCAGUACAUCCUGAUGAACCACCCCUUUUUCCUUUGCCCCGAAAGAGAAACCUUCAACUCAAAGCGCAGCAUGCUUGGAUCAAUCACAGAGCGGGAAAAGACCAUGACACGUACCAUAUGUCUUGCUAA
rnacentral:rRNA from 1 species